UACGGUCACACUAAGUCACAUUAAGUUCCAUUGCAUUCUUAAUCAAGUUCCUUUAAACAAAGUGGCAUAAUUAUCAACAAGAUGAAGACGCUUAUAUUCUCUGUUUGCAUUUUUGCACUUUUUUUUGAUGUUGGAAACUCAAGAAAGAUAGGAAAGAAGCUAGGACCAACCGAUAAUACUGAGAAUUACAAUACUUGUUUAGAAGAACAUCAAAUGUCUAAUGAUGACAUAUUCACAGUAAACGAUAUAAUUCAUGAUAGGCACAAAAAAUCCGAAAAUGAGGAAAAAGCAAAAAAAAUGCUUGCAUUAUCCAAUGCUUGUUAGAAAAAGCGGAAUUGAUGGAAGGUUCCGAAUACAACAUAGAAAAAAUGCGUGAGGUUUACAUGGCAAGAUCAAAUAUACAAUCAACAGAACAUCAACUUUAUAAAGAUUUUGAAAAUUGCUUAAAUGAAUCAAAAGACAUGACAGACAAAUGCGAAAAAAGUUUCGCUCUUACGGAAUGUAUAUUAAAAGCUGAGGAUAAAGUUUCUCCACAUUCUGCUGAAAGUCAUGAAGAAAAUGAACACGCUGAAUAAUAAAAUUAAAAGCAAUCACGUAAUAAAUAUGUAGUUGAUAUACGAAUCUUCAGCAUUUCUCCAAUAAAAAGUUAUAUUAGUUUAGCUUUUUGUCAUUUGUCAUUGAAUGUAUUACAAUAAUAUGAAAAAAAAUUUAAUAAAAUAUUACGCCAAUUAUACAAAAA